UCCCUCCUGGCUCAGGGGUAAAAGAACCUGCCUGCAAUGCAGGAGACAUGGUUAGAGCCACAGGUUCAAUUCCUGGGUUGGGAA
rnacentral:tRNA from 1 species